AAUAACACUAGAAGCAUUGCAAGUGUGGCUAUUGUGUCACAUGUGCAUCAAGUAGGUGGCAGAGAGGAGAGUUGCUAGGCUAAGCUCAAUGUUAAUACCUAAAUGAUUCGUUGCCUAACCUUACAUA